UGAACGCUGGCGGCGUGCCUAAUACAUGCAAGUCGAGCGAACGGACGCGAAGCUUGCUUUUCUGAUGUUAGCGGCGGACGGGUGAGUAACACGUGGAUAACCUACCUAUAAGACUGGGAUAACUUCGGGAAACCGGAGCUAAUACCGGAUAAUAUUUUGAACCGCAUGGUUCAUAAGUGAAAGACGGUCUUGCUGUCACUUAUAGAUGGAUCCGCGCUGCAUUAGCUAGUUGGUAAGGUAACGGCUUACCAAGGCAACGAUGCAUAGCCGACCUGAGAGGGUGAUCGGCCACACUGGAACUGAGACACGGUCCAGACUCCUACGGGAGGCAGCAGUAGGGAAUCUUCCGCAAUGGGCGAAAGCCUGACGGAGCAACGCCGCGUGAGUGAUGAAGGUCUUCGGAUCGUAAAACUCUGUUAUUAGGGAAGAACAUAUGUGUAAGUAACUGUGCACAUCUUGACGGUACCUAAUCAGAAAGCCACGGCUAACUACGUG
rnacentral:rRNA from 1 species